rnacentral:rRNA from 1 species
GCCCCUUCGGGGCGAGCGGCGGACGGGUUAGUAACGCGUGGGAAUGUACCCAGAUCUAAGGAAUAGCCACUGGAAACGGUGAGUAAUACCUUAUACGCCCUUCGGGGGAAAGAUUUAUCGGAUUUGGAUCAGCCCGCGUUAGAUUAGAUAGUUGGUGGGGUAAUGGCCUACCAAGUCUACGAUCUAUAGCUGGUUUUAGAGGAUGAUCAGCAACACUGGGACUGAGACACGGCCCAGACUCCUACGGGAGGCAGCAGUGGGGAAUCUUGGACAAUGGGCGCAAGCCUGAUCCAGCCAUGCCGCGUGUGUGAUGAAGGCCCUAGGGUCGUAAAGCACUUUCGCCAGAGAUGAUAAUGACAGUAUCUGGUAAAGAAACCCCGGCUAACUCCGUGCCAGCAGCCGCGGUAAUACGGAGGGGGUUAGCGUUGUUCGGAAUUACUGGGCGUAAAGCGUACGUAGGCGGAUCAGAAAGUAAGGGGUGAAAUCCCAGGGCUCAACCCUGGAACUGCCUCUUAAACUCCUGGUCUUGAGUUCGAGAGAGGUGAGUGGAAUUCCGAGUGUAGAGGUGAAAUUCGUAGAUAUUCGGAGGAACACCAGUGGCGAAGGCGGCUCACUGGCUCGAUACUGACGCUGAGGUACGAAAGUGUGGGGAGCAAACAGGAUUAGAUACCCUGGUAGUCCACACCGUAAACGAUGAAUGCCAGUCGUCGGGUAGCAUGCUAUUCGGUGACACACCUAACGGAUUAAGCAUU